rnacentral:rRNA from 1 species
AACGAACGCUGGCGGCAGGCCUAACACAUGCAAGUCGAGCGCGCCUUCGGGUGAGCGGCGGACGGGUGAGUAACGCGUGGGAACGUGCCCUUCUGUUGAGGAUAGCCCCGGGAAACUGGGAGUAAUACUCGAUACGCCCUACGGGGAAGAGGAUCGGCCCGCGUUAGAUUAGGUAGUUGGUGAGGUAACGGCUCACCAAGCCUACGAUCUAUAGCUGGUUUAGAGGAUGAUCAGCCACACUGGGACUGAGACACGGCCCAGACUCCUACGGGAGCAGCAGUGGGAAUCUAGAC